AUCAUUCUCAUAAAAACCCCUAGACUUACAAACUCCAAGGGCAACCCUGUUGGGUCCCCUCCCUCUUCGGGAGCUUUGUACUAUCGCUCAGUAAACUUUGCUUUGCUGCCCACCAUUCUUCAUCUGGUUUACCUCUUCAUUCUUCACAGCCGUGUGACCGAGAACCACAGGCACUAAAGGAAAAGAAAUCCUGAAACAUACGGUUGUUUAGAAAGCCUCUGAUGUUAUUUCUGUGGUGCCCUGGCCCCCAUCAAUGCCCACCUCCCCUUGCUGUUCUGCUGGUCUUCCGCUCCUGCCCGAGCCAGUUCCGGGGCCUGAGUGAGCUGCAGAUGUGGGAGAAAACGCAGCCCCUCAAGCAUUCUUUUGAUUGUGGUGGUCAGCACAUCCUCAAUCAUCCUGUUUCACAAGAAGACACAAAAGCUGCUUUGCAUAAAGGAAGACUUGUUGCUUUCUGUCUUGGAGAGCACAGCAUGGGAGCACAAGAUAACUGACAGAGAAGCACUCCGGGGCAGGGCCGCCUGCUUCUGAAGCAUCUUUAUACUGCUAUGGCCUCACUUACCGUCUGUGACAUGAUCGAUGCUCGCAGGAUGGAUGCCUGUUACCAAGUGAAUGAAGAUCCUGAGUGCUGGUAUCCGAGUUUCCAGAAAUCUUCUGAGUGGUGCUACCUGAAAUGGAACAGCUCGGGGGCUGUUUUGUGGGACACUCAAGUGGGACUUAUGUGCUACAGGGAUCCCCCCACUUUUCAAAACUCUGAGUUAGGCCGCUUCGCUUUUAAGAAAGACCCCUGGAAGGACCUGUUUUCACUAGCUGAAAGAAAUCCAAGGACGAUUUUCACCUUUACGAAAGAAGGAAAUACAUCUUUGGUUCUUUUUGGACCAGUCUGCCUCUUGUUCACAAACUAUUAAAUAGGAUGCAGAGAGCCCAAGAAGAGAGUGAAGACAAGACUCAGCAUCAGCUCAACAGCAAGACGUCUAUCUAGUGCCUGUCAUUCCCCCACCUGUACUGUUCGCCCAUCCAUCUGUCCAUCCAUCCAUCCAUCCAUCCAUCCAACAUUCAGUAAGUAUUUCCUAUGCACAAGGCACCAAUGAGAACCAAAUCUUGCCCUCG
rnacentral:lncRNA from 1 species